rnacentral:tRNA from 3 species
GGGAAGAUACCGAAGUGGAAAACGGGACGGUCUGUAAAACCGUCAGCUUAGCUUUCGUGGGUUCGAAUCCCACUCUUCCCACCA